rnacentral:sRNA from 1 species
AGCUCAAUUGAAGGUCUACGCCAAGUCACAAGAAGCUCUUGCCAUGCCAGGGGAUCUUGUCUAUGAAGGCGGCGAGACAUGGGGAGCAGGCAACAGGGCAACAACAAUAUUAUACAAUGAUAGUGGACAGGAAAGAGCCCGCGUUGAAGAGACAGCAAGCUUCCAGUAAAGAAAACAGUUUGUAUGCUUCGCAUCUAGUAGAGGCAUUCGGUACAGGACAGACCAAAACUGAUCUUACAAAUGUAUUCGCUUAGAACUGUUUACUUCAUUAUGCAAACGAAUUCAAAUAAGGCAAAGAUUUUAUCUGCAUCUUUUAUCUUAUCCAUUAUCUAAACUCAACAAUGUAGUAAAGUGUAUCUUAUCUCCAAUACAUAAUCAAAUCUCACCAAUGUAGUUAUCUUUUUGAAUAACUUUAAGAAAAUAAUAAGUCGUAGGUAAUAAUUGUUUUCAAGACUUUAAUUUUGUGUAUGUGUGAAUGUUGUAAUUUGUAAAAGUUAUUGUUUGUUACUUUUAUAGGCACUGAAAAUAAUGUAUUCAUUGAAAGGCUUCUUGACAAAACAUUUGUCUUACUUUACUACAAGAUCAAAGAUGAACAUUAUUGUUCUACUGUGGGGUUCAAUCAUUUUACCAAUGUAUCAUUGUAUUCAGGUGUUUAGCGUUGUUGUUUUUUUUACAUACAUUCUGAAAGAGAUGGAUUAAUUUUGCUUGUAUGUUUAGAAAUAUUAUAAGCCACAUAUAGAAUUAGAUAAAGAAGCUGCAAUGGCUAGUGUUUGUAUGUGUGUGUCUGUAUUAGUUUAGUCAUCUGGAUAUUCUUUAUAAACUAAGACAAGUAUGUUCACAUAUAUGCAAUCCCUGAAUACAAUUAAACACAAAAACUAAAUUG